rnacentral:misc_RNA from 1 species
GAGAGAGAGAGGAAGAGGGAGAGGGAAAGAGAGGAACAGAUAAGGGAAAAGUUUAUAGCAUCAUAAACUCCCAGAUCUUCAUCCAUUGACCUCUAGACCACAAGAGAUGUUUUCACUUUUCAGUGGAGAUUGGUCAACCUACUGGUUUAUAUGUUUGACAUGAUAAUAGACUGCAUUAGCAUUAGCUCUUUUUACAUUACAUCCACAGACCUCCACUCAAAUACAACAGUCUAAGCAUUUGGAAAAGAUUAUAUAGAACCAUGGGAGGGUUUAAAGCUUCAUAUCACAUUUCAACAACCUUUCACACAAAACAAAUUAAAAUAGAACUCACCCCAGACCGUAAAUGAAAAAGAUCAACCGCCUCCUUGACAUUUCGAGUAAUUAAACCCCUU